rnacentral:rRNA from 1 species
UACGUAGGGGCCUAGCGUUGUCCGGAAUUACUGGGCGUAAAGGGCUCGUAGGCGGCCAACUAAGUCGGAUGUGAAAUCCCCAGGCUUAACCUGGGAACUGCAUCCGAUACUGGAUGGCUUGAAUUCGGGAGAGGGAUGCAGAAUUCCAGGUGUAGCGGUGAAAUGCGUAGAUAUCUGGAGGAAUACCGGUGGCGAAGGCGGCAUCCUGGACCGACAUUGACGCUGAUGAGCGAAAGCUAGGGGAGCAAACGGG